GAAACCGUUCAGGGGUAAACCUGAGAAACCCAAAAGUUCGAACGGGGAGAUUCAUCGUCGACACAAUGCUGGCUCCCGUUGGUGCGCGAAACCCCGAAAGGGGUGUCCGUUGCUUUUCCGCAAGGAGGGCACGGGCGUACGGCCAACGGCGAACGUUCCGGCUAUGUAGAUGUGCACUUCUCCCCUAGUAGGACGUCGCGACCCGUUGCGUGUCGGUCUACGGGCUGAGCGGUAGACCGUUGCGUCGCCUUGUGCGUACGCGACGGACCCUCGGUUUCCCGACCGGCUGCGCGACGGUAUUGAAGACGGUAUCGGGCCGCAACCAGUCUUAUUCUCGAACGUGCGUCAGGCCCGCCGCAAGCUCGAUCAGUUCGCCCUGUGGUACGGAUGAUAUUCCCGUUCACGGGCCUGGUCAGCUGUUAGCUGGCGGUGCCCUCGGACUGGCCAAGCUUCGAACUACCGGUCGGCGACGCUAUUGCUUUGGGUACUCUCAGGACCCGUCUUGAAACACGGACCAAGGAGCCUAACAUGUACGCGAGUCAUUGGGAUGUACAAACCUAAAGGCGAAAUGAAAGUGAAGGUCGUCCUUUGCGUCGACCGAGGGAGGAUGGGCGCUGUAAAGUGCUCCGCACUCUCGGGGCGUCUCGUUCUCAUUGCGAGAAGAGGCGCACCUAGAGCGUACACGUUGGGACCCGAAAGGGGGG
rnacentral:rRNA from 1 species